CUUAAUCCUUAGCUUUAAGUAUUCUAAUAGCCUCUAAUGAGCUUUGUUAGCAUGUUGAUCCAUUUAAUUUUGGAUUAUUUUGAGGUUAAUAGCAUAUUAGGGCUCCGAAUGGGGUUUUGUAAAAUGUAAGGGUUUGAUCUAAAUUGACCCUAUAUAAACCUAAUUGCUAGGUAAACGAACGCGUUGGCGAAGACGGUUCGGCAAUCCGACGAGCCGUUGCGAAGUUAUUAAAGAAACGGACGUUUAGGCUUCGGGUCCGCCGGGAGGGCCGAGGCGAUAUCGUAAAUUCAUGAAAAUGGAUUUGAAGCUUCGUGGCACAUAACCGAAGACCUUUAAUUUUCGGAUCGUGAAUUGGAGGCCGUUCGGGUGGUCGCGUGAGAGAUCGGGCCAAACCGGGUUACGGGUGCCGCGGGAGGCCGAUUGCAAGUGUCGACAAGCAAUCGGAAUGCGAAAUGAGGUGGGUUGUGCUCACCGAAGCGAUUAGGUCGCUUUCCAUGCUAAAGUGUAGUAUGUUUACUAUUGACGCAUGAUAAAGUAUGCUAUUUAAGAAUGCAUGAUAAAGAUUAAAGUAUGCUAUUUGAGAAUGCAUGAUAAAGUAUGCUAAUUAAGAAUGCAUGAUAAAGAUAGAUGCCAAAUGAAUGCAUGAGUUGAUGUUAAUUUAUAUGUGCAUAUUAUAGAAAUGCUAAAUAGAUGUCAAAUGAAAGUAUGAGAUUUGUACUAACCGAGAAUGCAUGUAGUAAAUGUUAACGAAUGCAUAAAAUGCUAAGUAAUGACUACCAAUGGAUGACAAAAUAUAUGCAUGUUGAACAUAGAUCGAGUGGCAUUCGAAAUGGUAAAGUGGACACUAGAGUUAGUGUGGGACAUCAAAGAAUAAAUGUGAUGUAAAGAACAAUGAUAAUGGCUAAAGAUAAUGUAAAACAAUGUGAUGAUAAUAAUGUAAUGUUGCAUGAUGUGAGUACACGUGCUUAUUAGAAUGAUUAAGAAUCUAAAUAAUCUAUGUGUAUGCAUGAGAUGUAAUGUGAGAACCUAAUGAUAAUGGCUUGAGACAAGGCAAAGCAAUGUGAUGUAAAGAAUAAUGAUAAUGGCUAAAGACAAUGUAAUGUAAUGUGGCAUAAAGAACGUGUAAAGUUAAAGAAUGUGAAAGCUAAAGAUAGCUUAAAGUAAAGGAAUGUGAAAAACGUGAUUGCUAGAGUUAGCAAAAGUAAAAGAGAUGUAAAGAACAAUGAUUGCUAGAGUGGCAACAUAAAGUGAUGUAAAGAACACUAGAGUUAGUGUAAAACCAUGAUCCAACUACAUAUCCUUAGAGUUAAGGAUUGAUCAUACUUGCUAUGAGUUCCGUGCUCGAGGGCGGUCGCUCCCCCUCGGGCGAUGCGCUCCGGAGUUUGGCAUCCGGGUUGGAGUAGACCCGUAAGGACGGUCCUAGCUGGUGAGUUCCUGCGAUGAUGGACUUAAUGUGAAGCAAGUUAAUGUGGCGAAACCCCCGGGUUAGCCGUGAGAUUAAAGAACAAAGAACAAAAAGGAAUCAUGAAUUGGAAAGUGGAUCUUGUAUUCAUUAUGAAUUGACUCAAGACCGAGUCGAGUGGCAUAGUUGGCUAGGGUAAAGGUAACCCUGUGAAAGAAUGACAAUUGAGAAAGAAUGACAAUUGAGAAACGUUUGUUAAUGUUAUAAAGAAUGGCAAAUGUGUAUAAUGCGCCUAAGGUGCGAGUGCCCUUAGCAAAGAAUAAAGAAUAAAGAAUAAAGAACAAAGAAUAAAGAAUAAAGAAUAAAGAACAAAGAAUAAAGAAUAAAGAAUAAAGAAUAAAGAAUAAAGAAUAAAGAAUAAAGAUUAAAGAAUAAAGAAUG
rnacentral:lncRNA from 1 species